rnacentral:rRNA from 1 species
GAUGAACGCUGGCGGCGUGCCUAAUACAUGCAAGUCGAGCGAACAGACGAGGAGCUUGCUCCUCUGACGUUAGCGGCGGACGGGUGAGUAACACGUGGAUAACCUACCUAUAAGACUGGGAUAACUUCGGGAAACCGGAGCUAAUACCGGAUAAUAUAUUGAACCGCAUGGUUCAAUAGUGAAAGACGGUUUUGCUGUCACUUAUAGAUGGAUCCGCGCCGCAUUAGCUAGUUGGUAAGGUAACGGCUUACCAAGGCAACGAUGCGUAGCCGACCUGAGAGGGGGAUCGGCAACACUGGAACUGAGACACGGUCCAGACUCCUACGGGAGGCGGCAGUAGGGAAUCUUCCGCAAAGGGCGAAAGCCUGACGGAGCAACGCCGCGUGAGUGAUGAAGGUCUUCGGAUCGUAAAACUCUGUUAUUAGGGAAGAACAAAUGUGUAAGUAACUAUGCACGUCUUGACGGUACCUAAUCAGAAAGCCACGGCUAUCUACGUG